rnacentral:tRNA from 1 species
CGCCGAACUGGCCAAGGCGACCGCCGGCUUGCCGAUGGGCGCGGCCGGGCGUCGGUUGCUGGGCACCGGUGCCCCAUGGUUCGAAUCCUGGCUGGACCA